UAGUUUUCUAAACCCAUAGGCAGAUGGAGGGGCAGAGGUGGUGGUGUGGUGUGGCCACAUCCUCAUGACUUUGUGUUGCUAUCUUCUAGGGUGAUCCUAAAAAGAAGACUGCUGACAUUAGGGAGAAAAUGCUCUGGGAAUUGGUAUUCCUAUCCCUGCUGUUUAUGUGGAAACAGUGGAGGUUGGGAUCUUCAGCCUUCAGAGCCAUAGGUUGCAGAACCCUCUUUAUGAAGGGGCAGGAGAUGUCCCAGCUCCAUUACCUGAGCAAAUGUAAGGAUAUGACUGGUGGGCAGGGGGUGCAUGGGGCAGCACUGGGGCCGUGGGGUGAGGGACAGCCUCUUCUCUGCUUCAACUGGCCUCAGGACUGGGCAUAUCCAAGAACAUGGACUGAGUGAGGUGACCCUGUUGGGUGCAGCAGCAUUAAUGCCAUCAAUGUGCGCAUGGCUGAUUGCUGCUCGUUGGCACGUGGUGGGUGCUGAGAAUGAUGACUUUGCUACAAAGUCAUUAACAAAGACAUGAAUCCAUCCCUUCAACCAAAUUGUACAGGAGGCAAUCUAGCAGUGGCUAUGAGUGAUUGACCUGAUCUCAAGGUUCUUGGGAAAGGAAAGGAACUUUGCUGCUCCCUAGCUCAAAAGCAGCCCCCUUUUCCUUGAUGUGGAAACCUGUCCUCAGGCUUUGCCAGGGGGCACUUCAAGUAAGAGAGGACUUUCUAUGGCAAUUCCUGUGGGAUCUGCUCUGCAGAGUCUGUGUUUCUGAGGCUGUUGCAACAAGGAAAGAAUGAAGCAUGCGUAUAACCGCUUGUAGCGGGACAACUUGGAAGCACAACAUGGCAUUUUCAGGAAAACACAGCUGCAUUGCCCCCUUCCUCCCACUUUCUCAGACUGGAGGUAACUCCCUCUCCACCCCCCUCACCUUCCUCCCCCAGGGCGAACACAGACACACACAGAUGCCCCUGGUUGUCUGCAAUCAGACUUCCUAUCUGCAAAGCUGUUCAGACAGCAUUUGCUAUACGAAGCAUCAGCAAAGGCUGAAGUCCUCGAGCUGAUUUUAUCAGCACUUGUCUCCAUGUGUCACAUCAGAAAGUGUUUUUUGUUGGUCCCUCACACCACACUGAGGGAAGUCAGCUCCUAAUAUGCAGUUUAAAAAUAAAAUAAAAUAAAAAAUUGGUGAUAAAUCUAUGUAAUAUUAUCUAAGCACUGCUUCACAUGGAGUCUGUAUUUCUGAGGCUAUUGCAGCAGGGUAAGAAUGAAGCGUGCACAGAAUUACUCGUAGCAGGAUAAUUUGGAAACACAACAUGGCACUUCCAGGAAAAAGAGAUUCAUCUCAGUGCAGCACAGUGCUCUGCUGGCUGCCUGCAGCAGGUUGAUCUGAUUACAGCACAAAUUCUUCUGUCCUCAUUUCAGGGCUGCGAGUAUCUCACACUUUCGCACUCAUGCUUCAGUCUGAAACCUCUGUACUCAAGUGGAAAGUCCUACAGUUACAGCUGGCUUGGGCAGCGCAGCCCCACAGUGCAGUGCCAUUCCCAGUGCUGGAGGUGUGGGCACAGCAGUGGUCCCACCGCCCACACCAGGGCUGAGCUGGGAGCUGGAACCCUGCCUGGAGCAGCUCUCUCCUUCUGCACCACCUGCUGCCCCAGUGCUGCUGUCUUCCCUGACACAGGUCUGCGAUCACAAAGAGAGAGCGUAAAAGCAGCCUUACCUCUUCAGGCAGUGACCCAGCUGGCUCAGCGCUGCAGGCAGGAGGAAGUGCGCCGGCUGCAGCACCGCACCAGCCUUGUUUACACCAGCGUGGCAACCUGCGUGACAUCACGGCCUGCCCAAAGGAGUGCAACCAGGAAGCGAAAAGCAGAUGUGGACGUUGAAGGACAUGAAUGCGUUAUUUAUUCGAAACCCCUUUCCAUCAGAUAACAGAAAGAGGAACGCUGACAAGCAUUUCAAAAUGUGCUGCUUCCAGCUCCCCCCCUCCCAUGAUGGGAAUCGUUCCUGCCUUGGAGGGCUACAAUUGAAACAGCCAUAGGGGAAAGAGGUGUCCUGGGAGAAAUAAUUUUGGAGUACCUGGUGGUAUUUUUGUGUUUUGGAGUUGUGAACCCUUGCCAGCACACCUCAGGCUUCAUGCACCCCAGCUGAGUCCCUGGACCCCCAGAACUGGGUGGCACUGGGAUUUUCCCCCAAGAAAAUGCUGCUGCCAAAGCAGCCACAGGCAGUCAUCCAGUGGAGUGGUUGUUUUCUCACUUUUGCUGUUUGCUUCUAAAAUUCUCUUAUUUCAGCAGAAACUAGGAAGGAGGAAACGUCUCUUACACUGUAGCAAUCCACAGCCUCUGAGGAGCAUUUUCCAUGCCACUAAAAAUAGGUUUAUCCAUUGCCCGGGCUGAAACUUCUUUGCUGUCCUUCCCAGUUCCAAAUCCCCCAACACGGUACCUCUGGCUUUUUGGAGAGAAUGAAAGAAAAGGAGGGAAGGGCCAGGAGGGAAUGCUUUCUUAUUUGUCAUAGCAUGAUGGUUUUAAUUGCUUUGCCUGCUUUGUCCAAGAGGAUUGCAAAUGUUCUGCUUCUAAGGGUGUCAGUAGCUGUAAGUAACCCGUGCUCUACAGCAGCUCCAGCACUCCUGUGUGUGUUUCCUUACCUGCCCACAUCCUGAAUGCAUCCCAGCAUGCCUUUGGGAGCACUGUGCUUGUUUCCAGCAGUGCUCCUGCAGGACCCAACUCAGUGUAAAUGUCACACGAAUGACAGAGUUUGCAGAGCUCUGUGUGAGGGUUCAGCUCUUCAUGCACUGCUGCAAGGAAUGGAAUCAUAGAAUCACCGAAGUUGGAAAAGACCUGCAAGGUCACGCAGUCCAAGGAGGUUUUUCCCAUCUCCCAGUACCAGAUCAUUGUAUGAAAGGAGCUAGGUCAGCUCUGCAGCAAUCACCUGCCAGCUAUGGCAACUCCUACAUGACUAACCACCUACUAUUGGCAAGCCAAUUAGAAGAAGAGUGCUAAUGAAAGCCACGAUCCUGGCAUGUAGCAGUUCGCCCUCAGGAUGUUGCCAUUGAGAACCUACAUGAAUACAGUAGCUGGCUUUCAGAAAAGGAGGCUUUCAACCUGUGCAGGACCACUGGGGCAUCCCCCACAGCUCAUGCUACUGCUCGAGGCAGCAGGUUUUGUAGCUUUGAAGAGCCUGGCUCUGCUGUGGAAAGUUCAUGAAACCAGUGUGGGAAGAUCCAUGGUUCUGAGUUCAUCUAUUUGCAUCUUUGCAUUGCUUCCUCUCUGCAAAACAGGCCAGAGGAGUUCCCUCCCACCUGUUUUGUGAUGCUGCCUAUAGGCACUGGAGCACACAGCAUGCUUUUGGCAUGCACAGAAAGGCAGAGGAGCAGGCACUGAGAAGACUGGAAGGAAAACAACGAUGCUUCAGCAGCCACUGGUGUGCCGAUGUCCUGAAUGCUGUCCGUGAUGCUGUGGGCUGUGAAGUGAAAGGCAAGCGUUUUCAUGUGAACUGGAACACAAAAACAGUGCUUUAAUUCUAUGGGGGGAUUCCUGAGGCUGGAAAAUACCCUUCCAGCAGUCAUGAGCCCCUCCACUCCUGUACUUCAUCGUGCUUCCCCUUUCACUUCAGCUGGGCAGACAGCAGCAAAUGUUUCAGCAGAGAUCUUGAAUAAAUUGAAAAACAGGAAUCAGUUGACAAGACUGAGGUCAGGCUGCUAACGUCCACAAAUGAGGUUGGUACGCAAAUCAAACUGUGGGACAGCAAAUGUCAAAGCAAGUCAGCUAAACUGACAUAUUGAAGUACUGGAAGAGGCAUGGCACUAAUGCUAAUCCCAUACAAGAUCCGUUCCUACAUCCUGCCCUAAACCAAAGCCACCUGCAGUUGAAAGAGGAUGAAAUUCUUUGUAACUUCACUGGUUGUCCUUCAGAGUCAUAUUCAGGCAUAUAGAGAAGGGUCUGAGGCCCAAGGAGCCACUGAUGCUGCUGCUGACCGACACGGCCAAGAAGAAUGUAGACUGGAAAGCGCUACCCAAGGCCCAGACAGGAAAGGGUUGAUAGGGAUGCAGGGGAGGGUACAGCUACACGAAGAGGGAGAAGUAGGGCGACGGAAACACUUUGUGGGACCACACUGCAUUACAAUUAGGUUAUUUCCCAAGGGAGGUCUGCAUUGCAGCCAUUGUGCAGAGCUGCCACCGUUCUGGUAGACUCGUGCAGUUCAAGGCUGGUAGGGGGAUCUGUCAGACAAACGAAGUGCCUUAUGGACAUGAACACUUACCUAGGCACGUGCCUAGCUGUCAGGUUGUAAACCUCUUCAGAGAAAAAAAACAAGUUUGAUGACAUCAGCAACUACCCACAAAGCCACUGAUAGUGAAGUCAUGCUCCAGCUCUGCUUGGGGGAGCUGCUGGCUGGUAGAGGGCCCCUAGUGCUCCUCUUUUACUUAUAAGGACCUAGGUAAGCUGUUAUUCUUGCAGCAUGUAACAAGAUGCCAAACUGCUGAACUGCUUGGACUCCACCAAAGCUGAGUACUGCUAGUUAUCAGUGCCAAGGCUGCUCCUUCCUGUGGGUAUGGAGGGCUCCAUCUCAAGUCCUGCAGAACAGCAAGCUCCCGGCAAACAGGCAGAGGAGAUCUGGGGAGGGGAUUGGAAAGGAGCUGUGAUGUCCCACAAAGAGGUGGAUUUGGGCUUCUGAAAUCAGUGGGAGGGCAGCAGCCAAGGGAAUGCAUGUCAGUGCUGGGGCUGCUUCCCAGCCUGGCGAGUGCUGUCCUUUGCUCACAUCUCAUGGGGACUGUUAGCUCCAUCUGUGUGCUGGAAGCAAUGAGUAAGCCUGUACGGUUAUGGGCAGUUUCCUUUGGAUAGAGGAGUCAAGAUUUCCUUGGCAAUGGCAGUGCAUUGGCCCUGUUGAUUUGUUUCAGUCACAACUUCUCCUUUUGAUGGUUUCUCCAGUAUCUCUGUA